AAGUUUUGUUGGGUGAUGUUUGUUCUUGUGGAGAAGGCAGCUGUAAGCUGGGUACAGCUACUUAUGGUUUGGGAAGCGGGCUUUGAGCACCUUGCAAGUAGGACCUGCCUGGCAGUAGGAGCUGGAGACGCCUGGGUGAAAGGCUGGCUCUGAAGGAGAUGCUCACUGUGCACUGGAGGGUGGGAGGGGAGCGCUGCUCAGGAAGGCACCGGGAGAGCGAGCACGCUGCUGACCCAGAGGAGAAGCAGCAGGCAGCGGGUGAUGCAUCACAGGGCAGCCUCAGCAGAGUGUGAAGAGUGAAAGAAGUAAUUGGACCUGCCCCCAGAGCGUCAGGGAAGAGAAUAGACCACUCCAGUCUGAGAAAGGGUUGAUUUUUUUUUUUUUUUUUUUUGGCAGUAUCACUAACAUGUGGAGGUCUCAGCAUCCUCUCUUCCUUGUGAACCUUCCCAGAGUGUCACAAAAUGGAGCAAAAGAAUUGUACAUGGAGCAAUACCCUCCUCAUCCAGUCACCUCCAGCUAAAAAACAUCUUCUGUACCCUUUCUAACGUCUUUGCUGCCUCUCCUUUCCAUGGCCUGUCUAAUUACUAGUGGACCCUGGAUCUGACCUUUAUUCCUAGUCUUGCCA